AUUCUCAGCAGAAUUUAAUAGGUUUCUCUUCCAUCUCUGCCGCUCUCAUCUCCUAGCCAUUAAAUGAGAGGAUCUAUAAUGGAAUGCCUCUGACAGUUUUCACCAGAACAUUUUCUUUUGAGACAGAGUCUCACUCUGUCACCCAGGCUGGAGUGCAGUGGCACGAUCUCAGCUCACUAAAGCCUCUGCCUCCUGAGUUCAUGUGAUUCUUGUGCCUCAGCCUCUGGAGUAGCUGGGAUUACAGGCAUGUGCCACCACACCUGGCUUAUUUUAUAUUUUUAGUAGAGAUGGGGUUUCACCAUGUUGGCCAGGCUGGUCUUGAACUCCUGACUGCAAUGAUCCACCCACCUCCGCCUCUCCCUGUAGCAGGACAAGCUGCAGACAAAAACCCCUCAGACACUGAGUUAAAGAAGGAAGGGCUUUAUUCAGCCGGGAGCUUCAGCAAGACUCACAACUCCAAACAACUGAGCUCCCCGAGCAGAAAUUGGGCAUGAGACAGUAUGAGGGGUGGUCUCCUCCCUUAUCCCCACCAGAACUUUUUAAUGAAGAAUUGGAAUAUGACUUUGUUAAUAUAGUGGAAUAUAUUUGAGCUUGCAUCAUGGAUCCAGGAGAUAAUCAAUCAACUAAGAGCCAGGCACCUUUUUAAGUCCAGUAAGAAGAAACAUUUUUACAACCUGCUGUCUCUGAAGUCUGCUAUCUGAGAUUCCUCUCCACAAUAAAACUUGGUCUCCACAAUCCUUUAUCUUAACCUGAACAUUUUCUUUCUAUUGAUCCGAGGUCUUCAGAUAUACUCAACCAACUGUCAACCGGAAAAUGUGUAAAUUUGCCUAUAGCCCGGAAGCCGCCACUUUGAGUUGUUCUGCCUUUCGGACAAAUCCAUGUAUUUCUUAAAUGUAUUUCAUUGAUGUCUCAUGUCUCCCUAAAAUAUAUAAAACCAAGCUGUAACCCGACCACCUUGGCCUGAUCACAGGACCUCCCGAGGGCUGUGUCACAGGCCAUGGUCACUCAUAUUUGGCUCAGAA
rnacentral:lncRNA from 1 species